AAUAAAUAUAUUAACUACUAAUACGACGUUAACUUUAGGGAAAUAAAGGUUAUUAGAGGAUUACGAGUGAGUGUGUAAAUACUGGGGUAAAGAAGGGGUGUAUUAUGAGAGGCAGCGACCAUGAGGAGGGUGUGAGGGAGGUGUUGAGGCGGGCAGGUGGGGCCCAGCUCCUCACUCUCCUCCUCGCCUUCACUCCAGUAACAUCGUCUCUCCUCGUCUUGCAAGUGAUGGUAACGUCCGAUCACUUGAACGCAUCGGACAAGAGAUGAAGGGAUGAGGGGCGUAGAGAACAGGGAGGGGCAGAUGCGGUGUUCUGUUCAAAUAUUGCUGGCCUCUUCCAGUUCCUGCGACGGCGCUGGAACCAAUCGUAUU